rnacentral:tRNA from 1 species
GCGACACUAGCUCAGUUGGUAGAGUGCAACCUUGCCAAGGUUGAGGUCACGAGUUCGAACCUCGUGUGUCGCUCCA